AACGAACGCUGGCGGCAGGCCUAACACAUGCAAGUCGAACGCACCGCAAGGUGAGUGGCGCACGGGUGAGUAACACAUGGGAACGUACCCUUUUGUUCGGAAUAACGUUUGGAAACGAACGCUAAUACCGGAUACGCCCUUAGGGGGAAAGAUUUAUCGCAGAAGGAGCGGCCCGCGUCUGAUUAGCUAGUUGGUGGGGUAAAGGCCUACCAAGGCGACGAUCAGUAGCUGGUCUGAGAGGAUGAUCAGCCACACUGGGACUGAGACACGGCCCAGACUCCUACGGGAGGCAGCAGUGGGGAAUAUUGGACAAUGGGCGCAAGCCUGAUCCAGCCAUGCCGCGUGAGUGAUGAAGGCCUUCGGGUUGUAAAGCUCUUUCGCACGCGACGAUGAUGACGGUAGCGUGAGAAGAAGCCCCGGCUAACUUCGUGCCAGCCGCCGCCGUAAUAC
rnacentral:rRNA from 1 species